rnacentral:rRNA from 1 species
UACGGGGGGGGCAAGCGUUGUUCGGAAUUACUGGGCGUAAAGGGCUCGUAGGCGGCCAACUAAGUCGGAUGUGAAAUCCCCGGGCUUAACCUGGGAACUGCAUUUGUGACUGCAUCGCUGGAGUGCGGCAGAGGGGGAUGGAAUUCCGGCGUGGUAGCAGUGAAAUGCGUAGAUAUGCGGAGGAACACCGAUGGCGAAGGCAAUCCCCUGGGCCUGCACUGACGCUCAUGCACGAAAGCGUGGGGAGCAAACAGG